rnacentral:rRNA from 1 species
CCUACGGGGGGCUGCAGUGAGGAAUAUUGGUCAAUGGGCGCAAGCCUGAACCAGCCAAGUCGCGUGAGGGAUGACGGUCCUAUGGAUUGUAAACCUCUUUUGUCGGGGAGCAAGGCCCGCCACGUGUGGCGGGAAGGAGAGUACCCGAAGAAAAAGCAUCGGCUAACUCCGUGCCAGCAGCCGCGGUAAUACGGAGGAUGCGAGCGUUAUCCGGAUUUAUUGGGUUUAAAGGGUGCGUAGGCGGAAGGUUAAGUCAGCGGUAAAAUGUCGGUGCUCAACACCGGCCUGCCGUUGAAACUGGUCUUCUUGAGUGAGCGAGAAGUAUGCGGAAUGCGGGGUGUAGCGGUGAAAUGCAUAGAUAUCACGCAGAACUCCGAUUGCGAAGGCAGCAUACCGGCGCUCAACUGACGCUGAGGCACGAAAGCGUGGGGAUCGAACAGGAUUAGAUACCCCAGUAGUC